rnacentral:lncRNA from 1 species
UUUUAGGUGGGUUCCUCCCAUUCCCCUUGGCUCAACGGGAUUGCUUUCUGCUAUAAAUAAUGACCAACUCCCCUCCUCCUGCCCUUCAAACAAAGAGAAGCUCCUUAAGAUUGUUGUAAGCUGGUCAUAGCAAGAGGAAUGGCAGGAAAAGGGGGACGUGGGAGGAAGUCCUUCUUUGCCUGUCUCUGCUUCAAGAGGGUUCACGAUAAGGGACAUGAGGAAGACCUGAAAACAGAGAAUCCAGGGAGGGCGCAUGCGGAAGUUGGACAACCAAGAAAGGGCGAUGAGACAAGGCAACCAACAGGAGGAGCUCGGCGAAGCAACGACAUAGACCAGAAGGCUACAGCCUUCAUAGAGAAAGUGCACAACGGAAUGGAUUCCCUUGAGCAGCGAAGGAAAAAUAUUGUUCGUGAGUUGCCCAUUAUGUGACAAAUAAUUAAUCUUGUCAUCCCUGAUUCACUAUCAUUUCUCAUGCCUCUACUUUGUCACUAUUAUAGCUCUAAUUACUCGGUUUCGGUCACUAGAUAGCCCUGAAGAGUGAUACAUAUGGCUUGUUCGAAAUAAAGAAUUAUGAUUGUGUUGAGUCCAUAUUUUAUUUCAUCUGAGAAAAAUAUAUUUGGUUGGUCGUGUAAUGCUGGUUUAAGAACUUAUCUUUAUUUUAAAGAGCAGAAAUGGAGCAUGGAGUAGUUGUUUGGUGUAUGAAAUCGGAUAAGAUUCAUAAUGAUUAAGGGA